AUUUCAGUAGCCUUUUUUAUGAAAUAAAACUUAUUUUUUUUAUGAAAAUAAACUGGGCUUUAAUAAAAAGCACAAAAAAUUAAUACUCAUUAACGUGUUUUUUUGACUUAAAUGAUAUGAAAGUGUAAAACAGCUUAAAAAACGAAGAAAAUUGUGUUUGAUGCAAAAUUGUGGAGAAACGGUUGUCCGCAGAAAAAAAGUUUUGAGACAAACUAAAACUGUAAUAAAUUCUUGAUUGGUUGUAAAAAAAAUUUUUCAAAUCAAACGUAGUUUGGCAAAGAUAAAGCCAGAUAAGGGAAAAGAGAACAAAAAUCAUAAAAACCGUGGUAACUCGAAAACGGGACGAAAACGAGAAAAUUACCUCUUAAGUUUUUCGACUUAAAAUGACCUCAGGAAUCCAUGGUUUUCGUUUGGGGCGGUGACUGUGGGACACCCUGUAUAUAACAUUCCAUUAGUUUUUAGUAUAUCUAUUAAUAAUAAUUUUAAAAGUAUAUAAUUUUUUUGCCACACCAGGAAUCGAACUUCGUAUCUGCUUGGUCGUAGUCCACCACUCUACCCACUCGGCCAUCGGUUCAAAAGCAAAAAAAUGUCCGAGCUAAAUUAUUGAAUGUCAAAACCAAAAAGUGUCCGAGCUAGAUCAUGUAAUAUGAAAACCAAAAAUCAAAUAGAAAACUUGGUAAUUUCUUAAAGCUUCUAUAAAUUCAUUAAACAGGCUUAUCCGAAAAAAAAGCUUUCUUCGUUUAAGUUUCUUUAACAGUAUUUAAACAACUUAUUAGAAGUUUUUAAACACGUCCAAACUUCUAUAAGCAGUUAAAUUCUGAAGCAAGCUCAAUACAAGCUGUAUAAAAAGUAUAUAAUUUGAGAUUUCAAUUUACAGAAGCUGUUGUGCUAGUUGGGUCCUACUCGGAGAAUCCCAUCAAAAUCGAUGAAUGGAUUCAAAGCAGGUAAGUGUUCAGGGAUUUGUUUUUGCUUGAUUUGUUCAAUUUCACUCUCGAACAUUUCCUUUUGUGUCGCUUUGAUAAUUAGUAAGUGAGCCAAAUCCAAUUCCCAUGCUUGUAAUGAACCGGUGAUAAUGCCUUUUAACUUAGGUGGACAUUUUUGAUGAUAAAUCGAACCGAAGUAGCAAUGACUCGUACGACCUUGAGGAGACUCCUGCAGCAAGUUUCUUCUACAGUACUAAGAAUUGCCGAUAAGCGUUAUGUCGGCUAAAACCCAUUCCUGGAUGACCUCCAUCUUUGAAGGGCAGUUCGACCUGAUAACGUCCAUCUGGGAGACGUAUGGUUUGUUCGGAAAAAUGUUCUUCACAUGCAAUAUUGUCCAGAGUUUCAUAUGUUGGAAACGGCAUUUCCAAAAAACCUCUCCACUUGCAUGCAUAGCUCGUGAGUUUGAACGAAACUUUGAACUUGCCGUGGAUUUUCCACUGGAACUUUCCCUAAUACGAUCCACCCGAAAUGCGUAUUUUGCGCUAUGGGUCCGUUACCAUCCAGAGGUCUUUGAAUUUCCGGAAGGAAUAUUUGGGCACAAACAUCGCUUCCUAAGAGUAAGUCGAUGGGAGCGGGUUCAAAGAAAUAGGGAUCGGCUAAUGAGAGCUUCUUUAGGUGGUUCCAUUUGCCGGGUAUCACUCGUUGGGUCGGGAGAUGGCCAGUCAGCGACUUGAAUAUAUAUGCCUGUAUGGCAAUCUCGAAUGUCGAAUGGCGGGAUGCAAGAUGUAAAUCGACGGAGAAUUGCGUUUUGCCACUGCUGACCAUCCCUAACCCAGACGCCUCGACUAAGGUACGCCGCUUUUCCAGCUUCAGCAGUUGUGCAGCGGAUUCCGUGAUGAAUGAAGUUUCUGAUUCGGUGUCAAUCAGAGCACGAAUUCUGCCGUCUGCAUCUCGGGCCUUCACAACUGCUGUCGCCAGAAGCACCUGGUGAGUUUGCACUUGAACAUGCGACGUGUGGUAGUUAAAAGUGGUUCAUUGGAGUUCUUUCGUUGGGUGGAACUCAGGUGAGUAUGUGUUAACAGAAGCCUGGAAUGUAUUGGAACUGGUAGCCUUGGCUGAGAAGCUGUUCCAGCUAUCCCAGCUACUGUCGCAGCAGCUCUUGAUGCGCCAGCUUUAUUUUGUUGUUGGUGAUGUUAUUGUUGUCGUUGUAGUUGUUGUUGUUGUGGUUGUUGUUGUUGCAUGUGUUGUUGUUGUUGCGCGUGUUGAUGUUGUUGCGUGUGUUGGGGUUGUUGUUGAAACGUGUUGUAGUGUAAAAGCGAGUGGUGUCUUUGCUGGCAGAAAUGACAGCAGCUGAAACUGUAGCAGUCCUGAAUCAUAUGUCCAUAUGAAAGGCAGUUUUCACAGACCUCAAGUCUAGGAAUGACAUCUCUUCGUCCUGAGUAGCCCAUAUUCAGGAACUGCUGGCUCCUCCACAACGAAUGCUGACUCUGAUUGCACAGUUUGCAUACAAGACGUUCCGCAGGUGAUGUCUUCGGUGCGAAAUUGGAUGAUUAUUUGGCAGUUUGCUUAACAUAAAAAGCUUUCGUCUUGGGAGGUUGAAAACGUUUGGUGUUGGUGGUAGACUCGUCCUUGCUGCGACUUGUUCCGGAUUCAUGUUGGACCAUAACCUCAAGUGUGCGGAAUCUAAUAUCAAAAAAGUCUGUAAAUUCUUUAAAUAAUGGAAGUUCUUUAUCAUUACCUAAUUUCUCUUCCCACAGUUUUGAGUAGAGCUUGGCAAUUUUUGAAGAAGAAACCAUAUCAGCACGAUGUCCCAUGAAGACACUGGUACUUUCAUGUUCUCAAGAGCAAGGACACACUCUCUGGUGUUAUAUAAAAAGUCCCUAAUACCCGAAGCAGUUUCCCGUGGCAAGGAAGGUUGACCAAAAAGGGCUUGCAUCUGAAUGUUCACCAGAAUGCGUUUAUGGUCAUACCUCUCCUCCAGAAGCUUCCAAGCUUUAUCAUAGCUUGCAGGCAUCCCCAACCAAGCAAGAUUGCAAAGAAUGUAACUUAUCGAUAUCGUCAAUAGUAGUGUUAUUGUGCACAAGGGACUGAAAGGUAUCGUGAAAAUCCCGCCAAGCCACAUACGACCCAUCAAAUUUAGGCAAAUCUAUUGGAAAUCGAAUAGCUGAAUGUGAUGAUGAAGCCACUGAAAAGUUUGUCGGAGCCAUCGUUUUUGCCUCAUUUGAAGCUACCGACUUCGCCCUUUCCAAUGCCUCAACCAACUCUGCCUCAUAUUCUAACUUUCCUCCAACUUGCCGCCACUGAUGAUUGCCUCAUGGUAGACUUUCGAUGAAGCCAUAUCAGCCUCGAGCUAAGCAAGACGAACUGAGGAGUAUGCUGCAGUUCUGCGCUCUUUAGGGGCUUUUUUGAAAUUCACAAGAUCCUUACUUAUCUUUUUGAGAAUUCCUUUUUAAACAAUAAAAAACGAUGAAAAGACAAGUUUACAACACGUACAACGACUUACUGCUUCUCUGCUGCUGCUACUGCUUGCCUGCUGCUGCUACUGCUACGGCUGCUACUGCUGCUGUAGCUACUAGGGCUCCGCUGACGUUUGUAGAUAACCGACGUGGUAUUUAACGAAAUUUAAUAUUAAAUCGCGUUUGUUUUAGUUUUAAAUUGGAUUUGAAUAAUACUUUAUUAAAAUGUUUAAAAUAAUAAUUAUAAAGCCCUACCGAUAGGGUCUUUAUUAAUUUUUUUUCUUAAUUGAAACACACUGCACACAUAAAAUUGUUUUUUAAAAAUGUUUAUAUGAAAAUGUUUAUUUAAAAUAUUUAAUUGUUUAGUUCAAUUGAAUGCUCGAAUUA